rnacentral:rRNA from 1 species
AUAUUGGUCAAUGGACGCAAGUCUGAACCAGCCAUGCCGCGUGGAGGAUGAAGGUCCUCUGGAUUGUAAACUUCUUUUAUCUGGGAAGAAACCCACGGUUUCCACUGUGGUUGACGGUACCAGAUGAAUAAGCACCGGCUAACUCCGUGCCAGCAGCCGCGGUAAUACGGAGGGUGCAAGCGUUAUCCGGAUUCACUGGGUUUAAAGGGUGCGUAGGCGGAUUGCCAAGUCCGUGGUGAAAUCUCCGAGCUUAACUCGGAAACUGCCGUGGAUACUGGUAAUCUUGAAUAUCGUGGAGGUAAGCGGAAUAUGUCAUGUAGCGGUGAAAUGCUUAGAUAUGACAUAGAACACCGAUUGCGAAGGCAGCUUACUACACGAUCAUUGACGCUGAGGCACGAAAGCGUGGGGAGCAAACAGG